rnacentral:rRNA from 1 species
CCUACGGGAGGCAGCAGUAGGGAAUCUUUCACAAUGGGCGAAAGCCUGAUGGAGCAACGCCGCGUGCAGGAUGAAGGCCUUCGGGUUGUAAACUGCUUUUAUAAGCGAGAAAUAUGAUGGUAACUUAUGGAUAAGGAUCGGCUAACUACGUGCCAGCAGCCGCGGUCAUACGUAGGAUCCGAGCAUUAUCCGGAGUGACUGGGUGUAAAGAGGUGCGUAGGUGGCAUAAUAAGUAGCUAGUGAAAUCUGGUGGCUCAACCAUUCAGACUAUUAGCUAAACUGUUAAGCUCGAGACCGUUAGGGGUAACUGGAAUUUCUAGUGUAGGAGUGAAAUCCGUAGAUAUUAGAAGGAACACCAAUAGCGUAGGCAGGUUACUGGGACGGUUCUGACACUAAGGCACGAAAGCGUAGGGAGCAAACGGGAUUAGAUACCCUAGUAGUC